AAAAUGCAAUAAAUAAUAUAAAUUAUAGAAUUUAGUAAAUUAUUAAAUCUUUGAACGCAUAUUGCGCCCCUUGGUAUUCUAUAGGGUAUGCCUAUUCGAGCGUUAUCUAUACCCUUAAGCUUUGCUUAGUGUUAGGUAUCUGUCCCACCUUCGCGCGUGGACUCGCCCUAAAUAUAUUAGCAGCGGUCCUUGCCCCCUCCCGCGUAGCACAUUACGCUUCUUAAGGCUAUAGUAGCCCGCGUCUAAUAAGCUGAACCCCCCUGUCUUUAACCUCAGAUCAGGUAGGAAUACCCGCUAAACUUAAGC
rnacentral:misc_RNA from 1 species